GACGGUCAAAUCACGUUGAAAACACCGGUUCUCGUUCGAUCACCGAAGUUAAGCAUCGUAGAGCCAGGUCAGUACUUAGAUGGGGGACCGCUUGGGAACACCUGGUACUGUAAG